rnacentral:rRNA from 1 species
UACGGGGGGGGCAAGCGUUGUUCGGAAUUACUGGGCGUAAAGGGUGCGUAGGCGGCUUUUUAAGUUUGGUGUGAAAUCUCCUGGCUCAACUGGGAGGGUGCGCCGAAUACUGAGAAGCUAGAGUGUGGGAGAGGAAAGUGGAAUUCCUGGUGUAGCGGUGAAAUGCGUAGAUAUCAGGAGGAACACCGGUGGCGAAGGCGGGUCUCUGGGCCGAUGACUGACGCUGAGGAGCGAAAGCAUGGGUAGCGAACAGG